GAUGCCAGGGUCAAAAGGUCUAAAUCCACAUGAGCUUGCUCAUAGGUGGAUGAAAGACCUUGGGACCCGCCCCGAUAUGAGCAUAAAAGUGGGAUGAUAAUCCCACGAUAUGCGAAUACUGGGGAGGAUUGUGGGAGUGCAACGCACGGAACAAUCCGUAGGCAUC
rnacentral:sRNA from 1 species